rnacentral:lncRNA from 1 species
AAAGAAUUUGCUAAGUGAAAAAUAUUACAAUGUGUGAACUGAUAGGAUUUUUAUUAGUCUUGACACUGUUGAGUCUCCACAUUUCCAGAUAUUUGGUUUUUAUCCUUAGUGGCAAAAGCCAGUGAUCUGUAGGCCCUUAAAACUCAAGUCACCACAGUCAUCUGGACAGUCUCCUUUGCUUCACACCCUCUUUUGUACAGG